rnacentral:lncRNA from 10 species
AGUCCCGGCGCCUGCACCUGCGGGGCACGCUCCUCUCGAGCGCGCUCAGGAACUAGCCGGGAGGCGCCUCCUCAGAGCGCGUCUGGAACCUAGUCCACGCAGCGUAGCCCUCGGAGCUGUUGUCCCAACAGGCCCGGUCUCUACCGGUCUCCAAAUGUAAGCUCUGGAGGGAUCGCUUCCAAAUCUAGGUCAAGACCUUGGUUUUGGAAGCGUCUCCUUUGAAAUCACGGAAAGUCUAUGCCGACAGGCUUUCUUCUGAAAAUGCUGAGCCAUAGGUUCACUGGGGCUGCGCGCUCGCCGGGAAGGCCGCUGAGCGUGUGCUUUCGGUGAAGCCCGGCUCUGUCGCGGACACUCUGGGCCUUGGAUCGGAAUCCGGCGGCCUCAGGACCGCGCUUCUGCUGGGCUCGCCCUGCCUGUCCCGGCCCGGCUCUGCGGGGCCCCCCUCCUCCCUCCUGCGCUCUGAUUCCUUCCCACUCAUGCUGCAAAAUGGAAAGAAAGCAAAGGAGACCGGUAUCGUGGGUGCCAGACAGUGAAUCGCUCCGGCCACACCGAGACCCCUACCUUCUCCGGCUCCCAGAGACUCUGUGGAGGUCGGGCACCCUGGCUUUUCUGGGGACACGCCAGUAUCAGCGUCUCUCUGUGCCUAUUAACAGCGCCCACCUCU